rnacentral:rRNA from 1 species
CCUACGGGAGGCUGCAGUGGGGAAUAUUGGACAAUGGGGGGAACCCUGAUCCAGCCAUGCCGCGUGUGUGAAGAAGGCCCUCGGGUUGUAAAGCACUUUCAGUGAGGAAGAACGCCUGGUGGUUAAUACCCAUCAGGAAAGACAUCACUCACAGAAGAAGCACCGGCUAACUCCGUGCCAGCAGCCGCGGUAAUACGGAGGGUGCGAGCGUUAAUCGGAAUUACUGGGCGUAAAGCGCGCGUCGGUGGCUUGAUAAGCCGGUUGUGAAAGCCCCGGGCUCAACCUGGGAACGGCAUCCGGAACUGUCAAGCUAGAGUGCAGGAGAGGAAGGUAGAAUUCCCGGUGUAGCGGUGAAAUGCGUAGAGAUCGGGAGGAAUACCAGUGGCGAAGGCGGCCUUCUGGACUGACACUGACACUGAGGUGCGAAAGCGUGGGUAGCAAACAGGAUUAGAUACCCCAGUAGUC